rnacentral:rRNA from 1 species
GACGAACGCUGGCGGCGUGCUUAACACAUGCAAGUCGAACGAAGAGCGAUGGAAGCUUGCUUCUAUCAAUCUUAGUGGCGAACGGGUGAGUAACGCGUAAUCAACCUGCCCUUCAGAGGGGGACAACAGUUGGAAACGACUGCUAAUACCGCAUACGAUCUAAUCUCGGCAUCGAGGAUAGAUGAAAGGUGGCCUCUACAUGUAAGCUAUCACUGAAGGAGGGGAUUGCGUCUGAUUAGCUAGUUGGAGGGGUAACGGCCCACCAAGGCGAUGAUCAGUAGCCGGUCUGAGAGGAUGAACGGCCACAUUGGGACUGAGACACGGCCCAGACUCCUACGGGAGGCAGCAGUGGGGAAUCUUCCGCAAUGGACGAAAGUCUGACGGAGCAACGCCGCGUGAGUGAUGACGGCCUUCGGGUUGUAAAGCUCUGUUAAUCGGGACGAAAGGCCUUCUUGCGAAUACGUGAGAAGGAUUGACG